GCCUGGCACAGUGGCGCAUGCCUGUAAUCUCAGCAGCUUGGGAGGCUGAGGCAGAAGGAUCUCGAGUUCAAACCCAGCCUCAGGAAUGGGGAGACACUAAGCAACUCAGUGAGACUCUGUCUCUA
rnacentral:sRNA from 1 species